GUUUUCCUCUUCGGAGGACAAAGUGACAGGUGGUGCAUGGUUGUCGUCAGCUCGUGUCGUGAGAUGUUGGGUUAAGUCCCGCAACGAGCGCAACCCUUGAACUUAGUUGCCAUCAUUCAGUUGGGCACUCUAAGUUGACUGCCGGUGACAAACCGGAGGAAGGUGGGGAUGACGUCAAAUCAUCAUGCCCCUUAUGAUUUGGGCUACACACGUGCUACAAUGGACAAUACAAAGGGCAGCGAAACCGCGAGGUCAAGCAAAUCCCAUAAAGUUGUUCUCAGUUCGGAUUGUAGUCUGCAACUCGACUACAUGAAGCUGGAAUCGCUAGUAAUCGUAGAUCAGCAUGCUACGGUGAAUACGUUCCCGGGUCUUGUACACACCGCCCGUCACACCACGAGAGUUUGUAACACCCGAAGCCGGUGGAGUAACCAUUUUGGAGCUAGCCGUCGAAGGUGGGACAAAUGAUUGGGGUGAAGUCGUAACAAGGUAGCCGUAUCGGAAGGUGCGGCUGGAUCACCUCCUUU
rnacentral:rRNA from 1 species